rnacentral:rRNA from 1 species
AACCGGAUUAGAUACCCUGGUAGUCCAUGCCGUAAACGAUGAGUGCUAGGUGUUGGAGGGUUUCCGCCCUUCAGUGCCGCAGCUAACGCAUUAAGCACUCCGCCUGGGGAGUACGACCGCAAGGUUGAAACUCAAAGGAAUUGACGGGGGCCCGCACAAGCGGUGGAGCAUGUGGUUUAAUUCGAAGCUACGCGAAGAACCUUACCAGGUCUUGACAUCUUCUGCCAAUCCUAGAGAUAGGACGUUCCCUUCGGGGACAGAAUGACAGGUGGUGCAUGGUUGUCGUCAGCUCGUGUCGUGAGAUGUUGGGUUAAGUCCCGCAACGAGCGCAACCCUUAUUAUCAGUUGCCAGCAUUCAGUUGGGCACUCUGGUGAGACUGCCGGUGACAAACCGGAGGAAGGUGGGGAUGACGUCAAAUCAUCAUGCCCCUUAUGACCUGGGCUACACACGUGCUACAAUGGACGGUACAACGAGUCGCGAAGUCGUGAGGCCAAGCUAAUCUCUUAAAGCCGUUCUCAGUUCGGAUUGUAGGCUGCAACUCGCCUACAUGAAGUUGGAAUCGCUAGUAAUCGCGGAUCAGCAUGCCGCGGUGAAUACGUUCCCGGGCCUUGUACACACCGCCCGUCACACCAUGAGAGUUUGUAACACCCAAAGUCGGUGAGGUAACCUUUUGGANCCAACCGCCUAANGUGGGACAGAUGAUUAGGGUGAAGUCGUAAC